rnacentral:lncRNA from 1 species
AAAAAAUUUUUUUUGAAUUAUGUUGUGUGGUGUUUUGUGUUUUGUUUUUUAAUUUAUGGGCUGUUUUUUUGUUUUGUUUUGUUUUGGUUUUUUGUAUCAGGGAUUGAAUUUAGGGGCACUUAACCACUGAGUCACAUCCCCAGCCAUUUUUUAUAUUUUAUUUAGAGACUAGGUCUCCCUGAGUUGCUUAGAGUCUCACUAAGUUGCUGAGGCUGGCUUUGAACUCAUCAUCCUCCUGCCUCAGGCUCCUGAGCCUGGGAUUAUAGGCAAGUGCCACCAUGCCCAGCCAUUUAUGGUCUGUUUUGAAAUGUAUGGGUUCAUUUACAAAUAAAUAAGAGUAAUUUAAGCUAUCUUUAAAUUGAUUUCUAGUUUAAUUCACCAUAAUCAGAGAUGUACUCUGAAUUAUUUUACAACUUCAACAUUUAAAAUUUUUUAGGCAGUUUUGAAAACAGUUCACCAUUCUCUUGUGGGUAGUGAGAAAAUAAUGCUGCAAUUUAUGUAUACAAUUCUGUCUACAGCAAUUAUAUCAAUUCAUGUUCAGAUUCCCUGUACUUUUACUGAAGUUUCGUUAUUUAUUUCUAUUAGAGGUUGAGAAAGAUGUGUUAAAAUCUAUUUCUUGUUUCAGUGCUGUCAAUUUUGGUUUACACAUUAAGAAACCAUGAUAUUAGGUAAAUACACAUUUUUAAUUAUUAAAACUUUCUUAAUUUCUGAUGACAUAAGACAUGUCAUUAGACAGCCUGUAUAUAUGUAAUUAUAUUUUAUACCUUAAGUACUACUUUCAUUAAAUUAGUCAUACUAAUUUUCUCUUGAUUUCCCAUGUUUUCUUUUUUAAUUUUUUUGUUAUUUUUAUUUACACAUGAUAGUAAAUUGGAUUUUGAUAUAUCAAACAUACAUAGAGUCUAACUUCCCAUUCUUCUUGUUGUACCUGAUGUUUAGUUAUACUGGUUGUAUAUUCAUAUAUGAACAUAGGGAAGUUAUGGCCGAUUCAUUUGACUGUCUUUCCUAUAAGUUAGAAUGAAUUGGUCAUAACUUUCCCAUUUAUUCUUAUAUUAAAUGUGUUUUUCUGGCAAACAGUACAUAGAAUUUUUCUUUACACAGUUUGACAAAUAUUUUUUAUUUGGAACAUUGAUUAUUUUUGCAAAUAAUAUUGCUAAAGUUUUUUUAUUGGCUUUACUAUUUUUUUAAAAUUUGUUGUACAUG